GGUACUCCGUCUGUGAGCGGUUCCACUGGCACUGUUCCGGCUGUCAGCAUUCCUGGUCACAGCAGCACCAAUGAUGGUGUGACGACUGACAACCCGACCUAUGUCCCAUCACUGCCUGACACUCCUGCUCUACCUGGAACAAGCACUGAUGAUCCGACUGGUGUUCCAUCCAUCACUCUUCCUGGUACUGGUGGCUCUGGUAACACCAACCCUGUGAUUCCUGGUAUUGGUGGGAAUGCUCCUGUGUUCCCUCCGCUUCCUAGUGGCGGUAGUGACGACUCUCCGGUUGUUCCUCCUGUCGUCAACCCUGGUGGUGACAAUGGUGGGGUUGUGACACCUCCUGCGACUCCUUCUCGUCCAGUGAGCCCUGAGAUGCAGGCUCGUAUUGACACCGCUCAGACCAACCUUGCCAACGCUUCCGCCAAGGUCGUUAUGGCUCAGGCCGAUCUGAACAACGCCAGGAACAAGUCUUCUGCUGCAAAGACCUCUCUGGCUAACGCCCAGAAGUCUCUUGCUGAUGCCAAGAGCGAGCAGGCCGGUGCUAUCGCUGCUCUUGCUCAGGCUCAGGCCGAUCUGGACUCCACUACUGGUAUGGUCUCUGCUCGUGCUCAGUACGCUGACGCUGCUGCUCGUUCGCGGUUCUCCAAGGCUGGUGAGGUUGACUGGAGCAAGGUGAGUGAGAAUGACCGUGCUCGUAUCACUGCAUCCAUCCUUGCGGCCAAGAUUAACGCCUACCGUGAGAACAUGGGUCUUCCGGCUCUUCCUGAGACUGACAGCCUGCAUAACUUCGCUCAGGAGUGGUCCACGAAGAUGGCUACUGGUGAGGCUGGUUUCGGCCACGACCGUGCUCGUCUACAGGGGUACCUUGGGGACAAGGCCGAUGGAACUCGAGUUACCAACAUCAACGAGAAUGUUGCUUACGUCAACAGCAACAACCCUGUAUCUGACGCUGAGUACGUGUUCUCCCUGUGGCGCAACAGCCAUGUCCAUAACGAGAACAUGAAGGCUAACGACAUGAACGCUAUGGCUAUCGCGGUCAAGAACGACAGUCAGCGUGGUAUUUACGCCACCCUGAACAUGGUUCGUUAUAAAGAGGGUAACACUGGGAACCAGACUGCUCACUUCUAUGAUGUCUCCAAGGUGCAUGACAAUGUCUCUUGGAACACCAACACAAAUGAGAAGCACUACUCUAUUGAGAAGCCUGUCACCAAGACUGAUGUCAGCAAGAUUGACGUGAGCAACCUUCCGAAGAAUGCUACCUCCUCGUUCACUGUUGGUGACAUCCAGAAGCCGGUGCUUGAGAAGGACAUCAAGGACCGUGAAGAGGCUGCUGGUAUCACUACCAAGGAAAAGGCUGUUGAGGCCGCUGACGAGGCUGUGAAGCUGUCACGCUAGUGGUGGUGGAGUCGUCGUUGAAAUACCACUCUGGUUAUGGCGUGCGCCUGAACCUGGGCCCGUGAUCCGGGUUAGGGACAGUGCCUGGUGGGUAGUUUAACUGGGGCGGUUGCCUCCUAAAGUGUAACGGAGGCGCUCAAAGGUUCCCUCGGCCUGGUCGGUAACCAGGUGUUGAGUGUAAGUGCACAAGGGAGCUUGACUGUGAGACUGACGGGUCGAGCAGGUACGAAAGUAGGAACUAGUGAUCCGGCGAUCCCGUGUGGGUGGGUCGUCGCUCAACGGAUAAAAGGUACCCCGGGGAUAACAGGCUGAUCCUGCCCAAGAGUCCAUAUCGACGGCAUGGUUUGGCACCUCGAUGUCGGCUCGUCGCAUCCUGGGGCUGGAGCAGGUCCCAAGGGUUGGGCUGUUCGCCCAUUAAAGCGGUACGCGAGCUGGGUUUAGAACGUCGUGAGACAGUUCGGUCCCUAUCCUCUGCGCGCGCAGGAGACUUGAGAAGGCCUGUCCCUAGUACGAGAGGACCGGGACGGACGAACCUCUGGUGUGCCAGUUGUCCCGCCCGGGGCACGGCUGGUUGGCUACGUUCGGACAGGGUAACCGCUGAAAGCAUCUAAGCGGGAAACCACCUUCAAGACCAGGUCUCCGCAGCAGCACCCCGUGCUGCUGGAAGGCCCCCAGCAGACCACUGGGUCGAUAGGCCAGACGUGGAAGACCGGCAACGGCCGAAGCCGACUGGUACUAACAGGCCAACACAAACACAC
rnacentral:rRNA from 1 species